AUUGAACGCUGGCGGUAUGCCUUACACAUGCAGGUCGAACGGUAGAGGGGCAACCCUUGAGAGUGGCGAACGGGUGAGUAAUACAUCGGAACGUGCCCAGUCGUGGGGGAUAACGUAGCGAAAGCUACGCUAAUACCGCAUACGACCUGAGGGUGAAAGCGGGGGAUCGCAAGACCUCGCGCGAUUGGAGCGGCCGAUGGCGGAUUAGGUAGUUGGUGGGGUAAAGGCCUACCAAGCCUGCGAUCUGUAGCUGGUCUGAGAGGACGACCAGCCACACCGGGACUGAGACACGGCCCAGACUCCUACGGGAGGCAGCAGUGGGGAAUUUUGGACAAUGGGCGAAAGCCUGAUCCAGCCAUACCGCGUGCGGGAAGAAGGCCUUCGGGUUGUAAACCGCUUUUGUCAGGGAAGAAAUCUUCUGGGUUAAUACCUCGGGAGGAUGACGGUAUCUGAAGAAUAAGCACCGGCUAACUACGUGCCAGCCGCCGCGGUAACAC
rnacentral:rRNA from 1 species